rnacentral:rRNA from 1 species
GACGUAGGAGGCGAGCGUUGUCCGGAUUCAUUGGGCGUAAAGAGCACGCAGGCGGUUUGGCAAGUCGGACGUGAAAAUCCGGGGCUCAACCCCGGACCUGCAUCCGAAACUGCCCGACUAGAGGUAGGUAGGGGAGAUCGGAAUUCCUGGUGUAGCGGUGAAAUGCGCAGAUAUCAGGAGGAACACCGGUGGCGAAGGCGGAUCUCUGGACAGUUACCGACGCUGAGGCACGAAGGUCAGGGGAGCAAACGGG